GACGAACGCUGGCGGCGUGCUUAACACAUGCAAGUCGAACGGAAAGGCCCUGCGUUUGUGGGGUGCUCGAGUGGCGAACGGGUGAGUAACACGUGAGUAAUCUGCCCUUGAUUUUGGGAUACCUUCAGGAAACUGGGGCUAAUACCGGACAGGAGCUCCUGCAGAAUGGCGGGGGUCGGCAAGUUUCGGGGGUUGGGGAUGGACUCGCGGCAUAUGAGCUUGCUGGCGGGGGAGUGGCUGACCAAGGCUGGGCCGGGUAGCCCGCCGGAGAGGGUGACCGGCCACACUGGGACUGGGCUGCGGCCCGGACUCCUACGGGAGGCAACGGUGGGGAAUAGUGCACAAUGGGCGGGAGCCUGAUGCAGCAACGCCGCGUGCGGGAUGACGGCCUUCGGGUUGUAAACCGCUUUCGCCUGUGACGAAGCGUAAGUGACGGUAAUGGGUAAAGAAGCACCGGCUAACUACGUG
rnacentral:rRNA from 1 species